rnacentral:lncRNA from 1 species
ACACUCACAGGGGAGCAAAGGAGCUAGUCAGUCACCGACGGAACCAGCAUAUUCGCAGAGCUCUGGUGUGAAUGUGGAUUUAAACAAGAAACAAUGCUUCCUGGUUCUAAAGCCAUCUUUUAAGAUUUUUAGUGUAAUUUUGGACUCCCUAUAAGAGGUCUUCGGUUGUUCACAAGGACAAUCUCUGUUUUGUUUUGUUUUGUUUUGUUUUUUUCUCCACACCCUUCCCCCAAUCCUCUUCAACUCUCUUCUGAGGAUUUUAUUUCCCUGGCUUCAGUACAUCUUUAUCUUUACAUUUCCAUUCGAAAAUGACCGUGUAGCUAUCAUUCUCUUGGUGCCUUGGUCGAAUACUCCCUGAUUUAGACGUGAGAACUCCCUUCUCUGAAGCGCAUCACUGAGGUGAAGGAUCUGAAGCCGCUAACGGUGGUGGCGGAAGGGACAUCAGGCAUCUCCUUGACAAGCUUCAGUCGGCCAGAGUCCAAGAUGAAGCCGAGAGAACUGAAAGAGCCUUUGGCUACCGGGGCGGGUGAUGGACAGAGAGUGCUGUGAAAGGAGACUGGCCAACGGCAAAGAGGGGCCUGGUAAAGAAUUGGCAAGGCUGUGUGAAGCCCCUCGGUGGAAAAGCCCGAGCUUCAGCGUGUCCGUCUGUCGCACCGUGCUAGGAGGCGAAUCAUUUUGGCCUGGGGAAGUUGCCUGCCAGGAAGCUACCCAUCUGUGGGGGCCUUUGGGAAAGUGGAUGUGUCUGGACUCCUGCCCGACCCUGUGGAAAAGGAUGAGAAGAAAAGGCCCCACAGUGAGAGAUCAGGCUGAGAGACGAGGAGCACCCCCGUGGCUGACACUCAUGAGUCAGAGCAAUGGGAAGGAGUUGGGAAACGGAGGAAAAGGAUGUGGGGGUGGGAGGAGGCGGGAGGCAGCUUUGUUUCUUCAGUCUGGGUCUGUCAGGACCUGUCUCCUUCCUUGACGGAUUCCCCCAUUUGGCAUUCUUCACCCAUCCUUUGAAAACUCAAGUCUGACUUCUUCCAGGUGAGGAAUCUACUCGUGGUCUCUCAGAGGAGCACACACCCUGUGAGAGAACUCUCUUCCAGAAGAAAAAAGAAAAUCUGCGGUUUUGUGUGCUAUGCUGACAGGGACUGAGCUACUGCCUCGGAGCCUUGGGCCUUGGUGGCCACAUCAGUGUCCUCUUCUCUCUCUAGAGUCCUUGUCACAGGGUUUUGCUUCCCUCUGACCUUUGCGACGCCAGGUUUACCGUUCUGUCUUCCUUUUCUAAGUGGGCUGGCUUGUACCCAUAUUCCCACCAACUCCCUUCCCAAGACUGGCCAGACAAAUGUCCUUCCCAUUGAUAACUGGCAGGGACAAAAUUCAUUAAAAAAAAAAAAUUCUUGCUG